rnacentral:rRNA from 1 species
AUUGAACGCUGGCGGCAGGCUUAACACAUGCAAGUCGAGCGGGGGAGGUUGCUUCGGUAACUGACCUAGCGGCGGACGGGUGAGUAAUGCUUAGGAAUCUGCCUAUUAGUGGGGGACAACAUCUCGAAAGGGAUGCUAAUACCGCAUACGUCCUACGGGAGAAAGCAGGGGACCUUCGGGCCUUGCGCUAAUAGAUGAGCCUAAGUCGGAUUAGCUAGUUGGUGGGGUAAUGGCUCACCAAGGCGACGAUCCGUAACUGGUCUGAGAGGAUGAUCAGUAACACUGGAACUGAGACACGGUCCAGACUCCUACGGGAGGCAGCAGUGGGGAAUAUUGGACAAUGGGCGAAAGCCUGAUCCAGCCAUGCCGCGUGUGUGAAGAAGGUCUUCGGAUUGUAAAGCACUUUAAGUUGGGAGGAAGGGUUGUAGAUUAAUACUCUGCAAUUUUGACGUUACCGACAGAAUAAGCACCGGCUAACUCUGUGCCAGCAGCCGCCGUAAUAC